AUCGGAAUCUACUCCGUCGUGGGGGAUAACGUAGGGAAACUUACGCUAAUACCGCAUACGACCUAAGGGUGAAAGUGGGGGACCGCAAGGCCUCACGCGAUGGAAUGAGCCGAUGUCCGAUUAGCUAGUUGGCGGGGUAAAGGCCCACCAAGGCGACGAUCGGUAGCUGGUCUGAGAGGAUGAUCAGCCACACUGGGACUGAGACACGGCCCAGACUCCUACGGGAGGCAGCAGUGGGGAAUAUUGGACAAUGGGCGAAAGCCUGAUCCAGCCAUGCCGCGUGGGUGAAGAAGGCCUUCGGGUUGUAAAGCCCUUUUGUUGGGGAAGAAAUCCUGCUGGCUAAUAUCCGGCGGGGAUGACGGUACCCAAAGAAUAAGCACCGGCUAACUUCGUGCCAGCAGCCGCGGUAAUACGAAGGGUGCAAGCGUUACUCGGAAUUACUGGGCGUAAAGCGUGCGUA
rnacentral:rRNA from 1 species